rnacentral:lncRNA from 1 species
AGGGAAUAAGGAAGCACUAAGACCACACUGGGGAAAAUGACGGAUCCGCCACUUGCCUAAUAUUAUCUCUCUUCAUCCUUUACUUAAAUUUUUCGGAUACAGCUAAAGCUAACCUUUGAACCCUUUGCAGGUAUCUCGGAAUCAGAUAGCUGACAUAGAAAAACCUGUACAUAGCAAAUCGCAUGCUCAAACAAUUGGAGCACCUUAUACAAAACAGAUCGUUGGCUUCACCAAUUGAAGUCUUGUACAUAGAAAACCGCCUGCUCAAACAAUCAGAUCACCUUGUACAAAAUGGAUCGUUGGCUUCACCAAUU